AUGAAGUGUCUAAGCUGGAACUACCGCGGGCUUGGGAACCCGGAGGCAGUUCGCAAGCUUCGCAAUGUUGUGAAGCAAGAAGUGCCCAGUCUCCUAUUCCUGAUGGAGACGAAGAUUUCAGCAAAGCGAGUGGAGAGUCUGCAGAAUCAGUUGGGUUUUGCAGGCUGUUUUGCAGUGAACAGCUACGGGCUGAGUGGUGGGAUCGGUAUGUUUUGGUCGGCUGAUGUUGAGGUGGAACUGAAAAACUAUAGCUCGGCA
rnacentral:rRNA from 1 species